UACAGAGGGUGCGAGCGUUAAUCGGAAUUACUGGGCGUAAAGCGCACGUAGUCGGCUUUGAAGUCGGUUGUGAAAUCCCCGGGCUCAACCUGGGAACUGCAUCCGAGACUGCAUUGCUAGAGUAUGGGAGAGGAAAGCGGAAUUUCUGGUGUAGCAGUGAAAUGCGUAGAUAUCAGAAGGAACAUCAGUGGCGAAGGCGGCUUUCUGGACCAAUACUGACGAUCAGGUGCGAAAGCGUGGGGAGCAAACAGG
rnacentral:rRNA from 1 species